rnacentral:misc_RNA from 1 species
AUAUAUGUCUGCAAAUAAAAUUAGAAUCAAUCCCAAUGUAACCAACUAAAUAAUAAAAAAACAUUCUGAAAAAAAAAUCACAAAUUUGUUCUAACAUUCAUAGAUUAACCUUUUUCCUUUGGGUUGAGAAAGACUGAACUGCAGAACCAAUCUAACCCAACCUAACCAGCCCUUUAGCUCUGCCUAAAAAGUGGAAAAGAGUGGGGAAAGUAAGCCAUGUUCAGAAAAUUGAUAUCAUGCUGGAGAAACAAUUUUCACAUUUUCCCAAACUACCAAUGUAUGAGAUAAUAAUGAAGAACCGUAAUAAUGCUAGAAUAUGACCCUAACACCACUCAAUAUCACGUAGAAACAUUAACAAAAGAGCUCACCAGCAUGGCUGAUAACAAGAGAUGCUGAUCUUAGAUGA